UCUUGCAGGGAGCGGAGGGAGACCUUCGUUCCCUGCGUGCACACGGGCUACACCAGAUCCCCCGCCACCCUGGCUGGUCGCCAUAGCGUGGAAGAAUAAAGGGAGGAGAAUAGCUCAGUCACUGGAAAGUGAUUCUGACUUUGGCUGAGGGACAAAAAGCACUGGGCUCUGCCUGCGGUUUUUAUGACUUUCCUGAAUCUGGGGUGGCAGCAGUUUAGGUAGAGUGGGAAAGACCUGCCUAACUGGCACGCACUGCCAGGCCUCUUCAGUGGGGACCCACGACACCCGACUUCCGCACCCCAGCUUGCAGUUUGUGCGUAAAUCCCACAAGACAGAGAGAGAGAGCCACGUUUCUUUCCCACGCCAGGAACACUGGCUAGGCAGGAUAAUAUGCGGAGCCCAGGACAAAUGGAAACGUCGGGCUAAGUGCAGAACCUCUAAGGAUUUUGAGACUGCAGGGGAGCGGAAAUUCAAGGACAGGGUCCUAAAUGCCCUGCCCUGCAGAAGCCAUUCCACACAGAGGAGCACGGGGCGGGGGCGUUCAUUUCAGGAGAACCCUUGUUACAUGUUCAUUUGAAGAAAAACUUAGAAUGAAGAAGCAAAUUUUAUACCGCCGCUUUUAUAUUUAAUUCCUGGCUUGGGCAAUAGAAUCCAGCGCCUUUAGCUUUCCCCACAAAGGCCGUACAGAAUUUGGUCCCAUCUGCCUUUUUUUUUUUUUCUUCUUCUCAUUUUAUCCCACCCUGUACUUCACCAGGCUCCUCUCCCAUCACCCACUUCAUGGGUUCCUGAACCCCAAGUUUUUACCUACUGGUCUUUGGAACCCUAACUAACUGGCUGAGUUCACAGGUGGGCGCUGGCCUUCUCGUGUUUAGCUGGGUCUUCGCUGGUCACUUCUGAUAACUUUUUAUAACCCUCCAAACACUACAUCCGCCCUUCUGUAUCAUUGUCUGUUUCCAUCUAGCCGAACCAGAGCGCAGUAAUUCAGGAGAGACUUUUGCUACGCUCUGACUCACACUUCAUGAAAGCAACCGACAGCCCCAAUGCGUCUCCGUGUCGCGCUCACCGCCUUUCACACGUACGCAGAAUGACACGUAGGACAACUGGCCUGUCUGCCACACACAGUGAGAAUAGCUUGGCCCUUGUGUCCCCUCGGCGCCGCUCCUCCAAGGUGUCCUCCACCACGAUGGACGGAAAGCGAGAGCCGGCCAAUACUUCCUCCGUUCUUCUGUUCGGAUCUGGUCCCAGAGACUCUAACCUGUGGCUCUCAUGAAGAGAAGCUCUUGGGAAUGGGCCUGCCACCCUCACCUGAGCUCCCAGUACACUCUGAGAACUACGGUGACACCAGGCCUGGAAGAAGGGGACCCUGCCCCUGCGGCUCCUGGUCUCGCACUUCCAACUUUCAGGAUGUGCCCGUCAGCAAAGCACCUCCCUUCUCUCCACCUGCGAGACUCAAACGCCUUGCUCCUCUGUAGUCUCAGAUGAAGUUACCAGGACCAGAGACUCGUGGAAUCAGAAGGGAUGGCCGAACCCCUUCAGUCCGACGUGUUCUAGAGAUGCAAACUAUGCAACCUCCAGGUGACGUCAGGAAUCCGAGGUCCAGGCUGCCAUUUGCUUCCCAGCCUUCAUUUCCUAAGACUUUUUACCCAUCUGUCCACUUGCAGUGCCUUUAAUGUUAGUGCAUUUGCCCACCCUACAGAGAUGACUCUGGAUCCUUCUUCCCACUGAGAUACCCCCAUCCCCGGUAGGGGCACUAGGAGCUGUGAAUAUCACAGAUGUGCCGGAGCUGUCCUGGCAAUCUGCAGGCUUCAUGAUUCACCCCUGUGAGUCAUGCUGUUCCCGCCCCGUCACUCCCCACAUCUGGGAUCUACUUUAAUGAUUCUUAUCUGGUUUUCCGCUAACCCUUCCUGUAGGUUUUGACUAAUUCAGACACGAUACUGUAUUCUCGACCCACCCGGAAUGGUCACAUGGCUUCCGGGGCCAAAUCAUAGAUAAAACCUGAGAAAUAAAACCAGAAACAAAUGCACGCAUGGAGGUCUUCUGUUAUAUUGUUGCUGACACUGGUUUCGUAAAGCUGUCUUCUUACACGUUUAUCUGAAGCUUUGGGUUUUUUUUUUUUUUUUUUUUUUUUUUUUUUUUUUUUUUUUUUUUG